AUAUACUACUAAACACUAGAGGGCGUACUCGCUCAAAUUGCUGCUCCGAGCUGGAGCGGUGGCCGCCAUUACUAAGGAGGGCAGAAAAACGGACGACCCAACAAGAUACUGUGCACAACAUACGUGGAAAAAUUGAAGAAGCCAGGUUCGUGCGUUGCAUUUGGAUGUUCGAACCGAAGAAAGAAAGGGAACUGCAUAAUAUUUCACAAGAAUACACUCAAGAGAGGAAAGGAUGUUACACACCACAUCUCAUUCCUAGAGCUGUGCCUACUGUCUUUCCUGGACAUCCUCCCUAUAAACAGACCCAUGGCUCAAGACUCCCAGCAAAACCAUGUACAACAUCCGAAAGUGUUCCCGUGCCUCCAAAGAAACCCUAUGACAUUACAAAAGAACAUGACUAUUCUUUUUCUGUCUGAGUUGAUUAGAAACUGAAUAUAACCAGACAGCAAGUGCAGGAUGCCAAGAAACAGCUUCAAGUGGUGAAACAAGGUAAACAGGAGAGAUGGAAAAACCAGGACUCUCUUGCAGGAAGUCCACGAAAGCAAGCUCAUUAGCCAGGAUCAGCUUGACCUACUUCAACACAACUUUGGAGAGAAC